GACUCUCCUCAGUGCAGUAAUUAUGAAGCUAGUUUGGUCCUGUUCGCAAAUCAGUUCAUAGGUGCCGGCUACUACAUCGAUAUGCUUCAAAGAUUGGAUGCCAUUCGUUACCAUAUUCUCUUAGUCACUCCGACUCUGGACAUCAACAAACCCGAAACCCCUCAAUGGCCCGGAUUGCUUUUAGAUAGAGGCGCAGCCAGUUUUGCUCUUGAAACUAGCAAAAUCUCUGAAGAACCUCCUAGCCCCAAAAAGCAUGAAGCCCUUGCCGCCGCUGAAGAAGAAGAAACACCUAAGAAGCUGGACACGCAUGGCAAACUUCUCUUGGAAACUGAGGACAUGAAGAAACAACAAAGCCAUGAAUGUCCAGGACGGCAAAUAGAUGGAGGAUCAGGCUGGGGAAGCUCUGAAGAACCUUAUCUCAAAAAGCAUAAAGCCGGUGUGGCCGAAUAAACAUCUGAUGCGGCCGACGAAACACCGUAGGGGUUGGGACUAGCUAGCUUCUGUUGUCGUAGCCCCGUGGAUGUUUAUUUAAGCUUUUAUUUAUCAGUAUUUAAAUUUUUAUUUAUCAAAAACUCUGCUAUAUUUAAGUUUGUACUUGUAUUUUGAACUUCAAACUCUGUUGUAGUAAUUUUAUGACUUCUCUUUUUAUUCAUGCAAUCUUUGGUUUUUCUUAUUGUUGUCUUCCUUCUGUUUAACCGCCAACAAACUCGGGCAUUGCUGUUUUUCUUCAAAAUCAUGUGCUACACCAUAAUCCCAGCAUCUUGUAAUCGGGGAAAGGAUUAUUCCCUUCUAAACCAUUUCCAACCUGAAUCCAAACAAGUGAUAUGCACUUUUUUUUUGUCACAAAUUUCAUUAAUUUAAAUCUAAAAGGUCUCAACGAUUACAAACCGGAGUAGUUUCGACGGUACAAUGAACAAAAGAAGAAGCAGUAAAGCAAUAACACAUGAGAUAGAAGUGUUUAAAGGAGAGGCUUGCUCAAAGUAGAGAGAUCGGCAAAAAAAUCUUCACUUGAAUCCUUGAAACCACAGCCCGGAAGAGCUUCAAAUAGUCUGAGACGACGUUGAAAUACCCUAGUGAAAGGGAUUUGGAGGAGUUCAAUACUGGCUUGAACACCAAAAAAGAUUCACCUCUCGUGGAGAGGGAUGCAGGAGAGUCUAUCUCAACCGCAAUAGUAUCAAAAGGCCUUAAUUGCCUGGAUUUAUCAUUGAAACGCACACGAACAGCUCUAAAAACUGCAAGACUUACCCAAGAGACUAGGUGAAUCUCUAACUCUAGCUUCACUUUCGAAGAGCUUAGGACAAUGGAGUUUGGUGACGAAGUAUACGGUUUAAUCGGGUCAGAAGCUCGGACCUUGACAUUACCGUGUCUAGGCCAACUUAUUGUAACCGGAAGAAACUUGAGCAAACUGUCAUCGUACUCGUUUCCGUUGAGCGUGAGUGAGUAAGCAUCGGAUAAGAGGCAGUGAGAUUUGGAAUAGUCGGGUUGAAGCCUUAACUGCUUGGAUAUUGAAAUAAGGUUUCGAUGAGAUGCAGUAAGAGGAGACUCAAAGGAUAUGCGAUCCUUCACAAAAGAGCUCCCGAUUAGGGUUUCACCAGAGUCGGAGUGGAAGCUAAGGCCGCCGUGAGAGGAAGAUGAACCAUCGACUGAUGGGGCAUUGCGUUCACCGGAGCAUACCAGAACCAUAGCGGUGCUUGACGAAGGAGAUACAUGUACGAUGGAGAGGAAAGCUCCUCCUCCGGUGAGACAGAUCUGAAUUGUCUCUGUUCUUGACCCACGGUAGUAGAUCUCGUGGAAGAAACAUGAUGCCCUAAAUCCGGAGGUGGAGAUGGAGGGAAGUGAAAUAGGUGGGGAGGAGUGAGGCGGCGUCUGGUGAAGAUCUCGAAGAGAGGAUGAAGACGGUGGCUUUGAUUGGGAUGUAACCAUUGGGUCCGGUGGGUCAGGUGGAUCUGGAGGAUCUCGUGGGUGAAGAGGAUUUAACAGCACCGAAGCAAACAUCCACCGACGGCAAGCGAGAGAGAAGACCAGAUCCUGGUUCAUCGGCGCGGAGGGAGGUAGCGGGAGCAGAGCCAUCGGAAAAACUCAAACGAACUCGACGUCGGUGAAAGGAGCACAAUCGUUGGCCAGAGACAAGGACGAGGAGGAGCUUCAACUAGGAAGAGAACGCACCAACCGUGCCGGAGAAACAACGGUAGAACGAGCUCAUUUUUGUCGUUGCGGCUUCCUUGGUUUCCGUGUCUGAGAGAGAAGCUUCUCACAUCACAUGAUUCUCUAUAACAAGUGAUAUGCACUAAUACGACUGAAAUGUUAUAAAUUAAUUACUUUAACCAAACAACAUCGUUUAAGUUGAACUUAUGUUAGAGUCAUUGUAGAUUUAAUUCCAUGAAGUUCAGAUAGUUUAUUUGAAUUAUAAUCAUAUUAGAGUCGUAUUUAGCACAAACAUUUAGCAGGAUGGAAGUUGUUCGGUCAAAUAAAUAUUUUCACUCUUGUAAGUUUAUAGUUGUUCUGAGAAGGUGCUAAUGUUGAAAUGGCUUGUCACAAAGCAUAAACAAACAUCCAUUCCUCAGAGACUUCCUCUUCCCUCCAACCUUAAAUCAUAAUCAGAUUCUACUUCUCUUACCAUGUGUUUAAUAGAUAAGCUUCCACAUUCUCAAAUCUUUCUUUUUCUGGGCAACAAUUCUAUGUUUGAUAUUUCUGAUUGGAAGAGAUAAAAUUUAUGGAUUUCCUUAGGAGUAGAAUAUACCUCGUUUGCUCCUUUCAAGUCCUUUUGAUGCAUCUGAAAUCUUGAAAAGACAUUUGCAAGCAUCUUUGUUGUCUUCGCAAUCUUUCUUUGCUCUCAGUAAUAUUAGGAAAGGAUCAACCAGCUCUUCUUUUUUCAUGUCCUUUUUUAUGUACCUGGAAAUCUUGAAAAGACAUUUUUCGAUCAUGUUGUAUGUUGGUGCUCUUGGCUAAGUUGUUUCAGAACAUCAAAGGAGGAGGAGAUCUUGGAUUGGAAAAGGCAAGAAAGAAGUUCAUCAAGCACCCUAAGCCUCAAGAUUCGUCAACAGGAGGGGAGAUUGUGAAGUUUGAAGCUGAUGACUGGGAGAUAUUGUUAAUGUCUGGGGAAGAGAGUGAGAGCAAAAAGAACUUGAUGGCACAAAACACUGAGUUUUAGUCUAACAUUUUUAAUAUCAAAUCUUUGAAGCUUUGUGAAUCCCCUAUACACUAUUUGAUAAGUGGUUUGACAAGUGUCUUUUUUACAUUCAUUAUCACUAAAAAAUAAUGACAUGGAUUUAAAAAAAAAUGGCAUGACAUCAAUUUAAUUAUAUGUAAAAUUUCCUUAUAAAACAUUAUAAUUUUUGGAAAGACUUUUUAAAUAUGGUAUGCUAAUAAAUUUUACAUAAAAUAAAUUUUAUGUAUAAAUAUUAUUUUAGUAAGAAUUUUAAUAUAUUAGUAACUAAUAUAUCAUAUAUCACCAUUACAAUAAUAUAUAUAUAUAUAUAACAUUAAUAAACAAAUAAACUAAAUAUAAGUACAUUGUAAAAAAAAUCACGUUAACUUAUAUAUCCAUUUUUUAUAAAUAAAUAAAUAUAUAUAUAUACAUAUAUUAAAAUUAAUUGUAAAUGUGCUUUAAAAUACAAAACUAAAGCAAUAUUAAUCAAAUAAAAAUUUAUUGAUAAUUAAUGUUUAAAUUUUUUUUUAGCAUUUAUUGGUUUAUUUAGGGUUUCCCCAAAAAAAACGAAAAGAAUGCACACAGAUCCGUUCCGUUGAAAAUAUGUCAGCACCCUUGAUAUUUUCCUUUUUUAAAAAACAAAAAAUUGAGAUCCAAGAGAGAUAUAAAAACAUGCCCUCAUAGAUAUCUCAGCAAGCUGCAGCCUAGCUCUCUCAUCCGUCCGUGGAGAAAAGCAUUCAAAGCAAGAUCUAACCCCUAGCUAGAAGGAAGGUCUCUCCAAUUCUCAUCGUCAUCUCCGCAGAACCAUGGGCGAAGACGAUACCAUCGGUUUUGAGUCCUGUAAGAUCUCUCUCCAUCUAAAAUUGUUUUGUUAGAUUUCAUCUGAUUCGAUUAUAGGGGAAGUAAUGGUUUAUUUUUUCUAAUUUUUUCGUAAAUUCGUUUGUGUGUAGUGAAGCAGACGCUCGUGUACUGGAACAUGGAUGACUACCCAAUCCCUGUAGAUACUACAGAUGAGCUUGAUCCUGUUUUCGGUGAUAUCUUAAAAGCUCUUGAUGUAAUGGGCUUUCGUGAUGGGCAUAUAGACGUGUUUCUGUAUGAUGAGCAAAUCAACAGGGAGGGGGCUCUAGUCGACUGGACUUUACCCGAAAGUAAAUUCCUCACUCUCCUUUGCUCGUCAUCGUUUCUAUUUUAAAUUAUAUUUAUAAUGUAAUCGGACUUGUUUCUCUGUUGUUGUUUGUAGGCGAAACUUACGGCGCUUGUUUUUACAAAGUGCCGGAUAUCACUUGGUAUAUGAUUCGUGACUCAUCAUUUUACAGAGCAGGACCAGUAAAUUAUUUUGUAAUUGCAAAACCAAAAAGGGAGUUACAUAGGGUUCUGCACUGUUUGCAAUCAAGGCGUCACAAUGUUCUUCUAGUAAAGCCGCCGCCCCCUGAUGAAGAAUUUCUCUUUAGUGUAGCCUCUCUACUUGAGAAUGCUCGAUUUUUAGGUGGAGGAAAGCCUAGAUUCAAAGAAUUAUAUGUUUCUUAUGCGUCUGAGUAUGAUAUGUGCUUUGAAGAGUAUGUAGACAUCCCAGAAGAUCUCUCCAAGACGGUAGAUUUCUCCGGUAAGACCCCAAAUUGUUUCUAGAUUUUUCUAUUUUUUGAAAAUUUAUUAUAAAAUGGUAUUUUAUUUAACCUCUCUUUAUUGCAUGUAUGUAUGGCUCAGAGCGUAUCCCAACCGUCAGAGGGCCUAGGACAGCCGUCUUCUGGGACGCCGUCGAUUGCCCUUUCCCUCCUUCUUCCUCUCCUGAUGAGAUCUACCACUCUAUCUCAUCAGCUCUUGUUGAAAGGUAUCUUAGUGAUAAUAUUACUAUCUGGGCCUAUCUUGAUGAUGAUGAUGAUGACAAGAAAGGGUCUGCCUUACUGGGUGGUGACAAGACGUGGACUUCCAGAAUCUACUUUCUUCCCGGAGGUGUGAUCAUUUCCCCCUCUCUUUUUUUUUUCCCGUCUUUAUAUGUUACUCUCACUUGCAUUUUAUUUGAUUUUUUUUUUUUUCCUUUUUCCAGGGGAUAAAGCCUCGAGACGUAUCAGAAUGUUAAAUGACAUGUUUUUAUUGGCAAGGGACUCUCCUCAGUGCAGUAGUUAUGACGCUAGUUUGGUCCUGUUCGCAGAUCAGUUCAUAGGUGCCGCCUACUACAUCAAUAUGCUUCAAAGAUUGGAUGACAUUCGUUACCAUAUUCUCUUAGUCACUCCGACUCUGGACAUCAACAAACCCGAAACCCCUCAAUGGCCUGGAUUGCUUAUAGAUAGAGGCGCAGCCACUUUUGCUCUUGAAACUUGCAAAAUCUCUGAAGAACCUCCUAGCCCCAAAAAGCAUGAAGCCCUUGCCGCCGCUGAAGAAGAAGAAACACG
rnacentral:lncRNA from 1 species